GACACCAUUCUGGAGAUUGGAAACAAAGAAAAAACAAAACAGUUCUCAUCCUCAGGGAGUUUAUAUUCCAUCAAAAAAGCCAUUUUUAAGUGAUUCAGAAGGCAGAAGGCAAAUUUAUAUGGUUAAAGAAAGUGGACUUGGGGCUUCAGAAAAAUUUUAAAAGCAACUAGUCCUGCUUCCAGAAGCCUACAUCUUUGAGUUACCAACAGUACCUGCAUGGGAAAAGACAUAUUUGGAUUCAUUUUCUGGAUCACCUGGUGACAUCAGUUGGUUCCUUUUGAGAAUAACCAGUAUGCAGUAGCAUCUGUAACAAGUAAGGGGACAAGAAGCUGGAGAAUGAAGUUUCAAAACAUGGGAAGAAUGGAUAUAGAAGAGGAAGAGGUCAAGAAGAAUUAGGAACUAGAAAAAGCCACUGGAUGUAGAAACUAGUGAAGCUUGAAAAAAAGAAGCUUAAUAGAGAACUGGGGAGAUGGGCAAUGGAAUAAAAGCAAGAUAAAA